rnacentral:rRNA from 1 species
UAAGGGCUCACCAAGGCGACGAUCCCUAGCUGGUCUGAGAGGAUGAUCAGCCACACUGGAACUGAGACACGGUCCAGACUCCUACGGGAGGCAGCAGUGGGGAAUAUUGCACAAUGGGCGCAAGCCUGAUGCAGCCAUGCCGCGUGUGUGAAGAAGGCCUUCGGGUUGUAAAGCACUUUCAGUCGUGAGGAAGGUAGUGUGUUUAAUAGAUGCAUUAUUUGACGUUAGCUACAGAAGAAGCACCGGCUAACUCCGUGCCAGCAGCCGCGGUAAUACGGAGGGUGCGAGCGUUAAUCGGAAUUACUGGGCGUAAAGCGCAUGCAGGUGGUGUGUUAAGUCAGAUGUGAAAGCCCGGGGCUCAACCUCGGAAUAGCAUUUGAAACUGGCAGACUAGAGUACUGUAGAGGGGGGUAGAAUUUCAGGUGU